GGGCUCUCUCGGCCCCCGCACGGCCCCGUCCGGCGCCCCGGCUGCUUGCGCACUCCGUACAACCGCGCCGCGCGCUCACUAAUGCGUCAUACCGCCUUCGAAGCUGACGUGCGUUUUGCGACUGUGGUGUGUAUUCGCGCGCGCCAUGUGAACUUCUGUGUUGACUUAUGAACGAUUCGAGAAACUGCGACGCAAUCAAAAACGCCUUUGUAAAUUCACUCCAUAUAAAAUCAUGACGGACAGUGACAUUGGUGCUCAUACGCAUAGACUUGAAAGUGAUGCACGAGGUUGGCGCACGUGUUCGCGGCUUUUUCUCAAAACUGAUAUGGCGGUUGACGUUACCUGAGUGAAAAUCGUAAAAGGAAGACUGAAUAAAUGAAGGAUCUAGGUAAUGGAAGAUUCCAGAAGAAAAAUAUAGAAAUGGCCGCCAUGUUGAGUCGGGCCACCAUUUGAUGUUUCUAUGACGCCUGUAACCGCGGCCGUAGUCCACCCACGACGACAUAUACUGAUACAGCCUGCGCUAAGGAGGACUCCGCUGAGGCGGUGACGACUUCUCGUGAUGGAGCCCUGGGCGCCCCAUUUACAGAUGCUGUGCAUUCUGCCUUCGCGGUCGCUGCUUCAUAUUGUGAAUAAGAAAUAAAUGUUAUAUAAUAAAUUA